rnacentral:lncRNA from 1 species
UGAAAAGAUGAUGCAGUGUUCAUUGCUUCCUAUGAAGUCCAAUUUAAAGUUGUUCUGUGGCAAGAUCAUGACUUAAGAGAUUAACCAUACUUAUCUAAUAUGGUAGUUUCUCAGGCAAUGUAAGUAUAAUUGCUAAAAAAUGAAUUGGUGGUCUUUGCUGUGGCACCUUGUGCAUCAUCAGGUCCCUGCAACCUAAGGGAUGUCUCCCUCUCCUCACUUUCCUGAGAAAUAGACUCAAGUGUACACUGACUGGAGAGGAAGUAGAGAAGAUAAUGUAGCAGUGCUGGGUCAGAAUCCACAGCAAGGUUCAAGCUGAUACUGCAAGCCUUGCUGGAUUCAUGGAUAUGUGUGAGAUGGAGCAAACAUCAGCAUCAAGCAGACAGGCAGAGACACAGAUACAGUGCUUUCAUGUGCUGAUUCCUCCAAGGCUCACAACUGAGUCUGGGCUAAAACAAAACCAGGAGCUGUGGGGCAGGGAUUGUGCUGCAUCAGUUUAAGCUGCUGAUUGGGAGGCUCACAUCAAAUACCAGGCAUACAAAAAUUAGCUUCAUCUUAUAUAAGAGGCAAGAUAGACAUAAAGAGAAGAAUGAACUCCCUGUCACCCUUCUUUUUGAUCCAGAGCUGAUACCUUUUGGAGAAAUGCACUGUUACAGGUGUGGACUGUGGACUUCACCCUGGAGGAGCAGCAGGACCUGGACACUUUAAAAGGUUUAAUAUUAUCUGUACCCCUUGUGUAGCCCCUGCAUUUCCAGGCAAAAGAAGGAAAUCAUUUUGCUGAUGGAGCAACUGUGUUCAGCAUUAAGUAGCACAAUCCUUUGUCUCUUACCCAGGUGAAAAUACAA